rnacentral:lncRNA from 1 species
AUUGCUAGCGAUGAGUAUCUGUCAGAAGGACUUACAGAAUGUGGACUUUACUAGUAAGGCUCCGAUCUGGAAUAUGCCCUCUGGUUGUGCAGCAUUUAGGAAAGCUUUCCCUGUGCUAUCCCUCUGCAACUUACUGGCUUGAGCUUAGAGGCUCUGACUGUUAGCAAGUAAGUAUAUCUGUGGGUAUUACAGCUACGGUAUGUUUACUGUUUUACUGAUUAAUAAAACACCACUGCAGGUGCAGUAACCAGCUUCUGUUAGGUAUUUGUCAAAUGGGCUUUUCCUUGGGUUUAUUUUUUUGGACUUGACGCUUCCUUACAAUGUCAUGGCAAUUAAAACAUCGGCAUUUCACACAGAGUGGCUUUGUCUCCGUAAAAUUUAUCAUCUGAGGUGGGGAACUGCCUUGGAUUCACCCGCAGUUAUUUCUUGUAAUUAGGGCUGCCCUCACAUGUAAUAAUGCUCUCUCUCCCGUGAGAUCCCAGAGAAUACAUUUAAGGAUAAGGACCAUUUAAUUCUCCCUUAGCGAAAUGAUCCCUUGCCCGAGUGUUCCAAUUUGUACUGAAAAAAUUUGUACUCUGUGGAGUUAGUCCUUAAAUGAGUGUGUGUUGUUCUGUCACUUUUCAGUGAAGAUGUCUAUAAAAUUUUUCCUUUAGUUUAAGAAAGGUAGAUCCAGUGGCAGAUAAGGAAUGAUGACAUGCAGGGAUUGACUUAGGUUGAAUUCCUGGGACGCACACUCUGCUGGAUGCUUCAUAAGGAGCGACCUUAGGAUCAGCACUUGCUGGAGAAAGGGAAAAAUUAGGAGGCGGAGAAUUUGAGCUGCAGUCUAGGCCGACCAGUACUCUUAUCUGAACCCACGGGGAGCUCUGGGGCUAGACUGGUCAUUCAGAAUUGUCCUGAGCUGUGCAUAGAGGGUCAGGACUUUAAACUUCUGCAUCUAUCAGCCAUUCGAUAGAGCCGCCCCGGGAAGUGGCAUGACCUUGGACAUGGCAGCUCUGCAGCUGAGGAGGUGGCUAAAAGCUGGCAGCUCUCUCCGCAGGGGGCUGGGAGCCCUCCCUUGCAGGGUCAUCUGGGCAGCGUAUCUCAGGGCCCGGCGCGAAGAAACAGUGCUGGGUCUGCUAUCUAUUUGGUGUUCAUCAAAAGGAGAGUGAUGGGUUGACUUUAAAUAGAACAAUGUACAAACCAAAGCCUUCAUUUAAGUGUGCAUUUUUUUUUUCCCCUUUUUAGGGCCUCACCUGAGGCAUGUGGAAGUUCCCAGGCUAGAGGUUGAUUCGGGGUUGUAGCUGCACCAUGGCCACAGCACCACGGGAUCUGAGCCUCGUCUGUGACCUAACCUGUAACUCACAGCAGUACCAGAUCCUUAACCCAUGGAGCGAGGCCAGGAAUUGAACCUGCGUGCUCAUGAGUACUCAUCGGUUUCUUACCUCCCUGAGCCACAACGGGAACUCUGAGUCUGCGUCUCACCAGAUGGCAAGGGCAGGGGCACACUCGGCAAGAUUUUUGUUGUUGUUCCCUAACGGCAUCUUCUACGGGACACAGACUGUGAUCAGGUGAAAAGUAAUAAAUAUCCAUCCAGGCCCCACCAACUCCACUUCCUUACCUUCAGCAACAUUGAUCCGAGCCCAGCUGCCACGGAGAAUUUGCAGCCCAGUAGUUGUGUCUGUCGAUAUAAAAGCCCGAGUCAUUUUCCUGCUGACACAUGUUCCACGUUCCCCCUUCCUUUGGCUCAGAGGAGGGGUAGAGGAGAAAACUGACCAUGGAGCAGCCACUGAUUUAUACUUCUUUUCUGGACCAGGGAAUUCAUAUUGAUUAGUUGGAUGAAUGAGUCUGUCCCUUUGUUUCAAAUGAUUAGAGUGAGUGUCUGCCCUUGGAAUAUAUCACGGCUCCACUAUGACAUCAGGAAUAAGAUCCACUGUGUUUUUUGUAAAUCUCAGUGCCUUUCCCCUACUUAUGAAAUACACCUGUCGAUGAUACUUAACCUGGUUAUGGAGAAACAGGUCUUUACGGGAGUCUGAAAAAUAGGUUUGCCAGCAGGGACGCCAGAAAGUGUCAGAUUCUUUUUUGGGCUCUUUCCUGUUGCCUAAAGCAUUUAUACUGAACUUGUCAUCAAAGCAGUUGAUGACAUUUGUUGACUCAUCUGAAUUCAAUUUUCUUUUUCUUAUUCUGUUGUGGGAUUUCAUAGCUGAUCAGUGCUUAUCCAAAUAACUUCUGGCUGGAUUUCUCAUCUGUAAAACUUAGUGGGGGAAAACAACCACCAUAGAAUGAAUUUCUGUAUUUUAAUGGAAUUUUUUUUUUAACAUUUAUCAUUAACAUGUUUACAGAAAUAUAUUUAACAUCUUAUGUUUUCCAAGAAUUGUCUAGCUGAGGUGACUCUAUAUGGAGAAUAUGGUUUUUCUACUGGUCUCUCUGCUCCAUUAUGAUUUUUGAAGGAAAAGAUUCUUUUUUUUUUUCCCAAAAUUUGCUUUGAUGCUAAAUUGGUAGAAAUUAAUUUAUUCUCUGGAGCCCAGGAUUCUGUCCCUGAAUUCUUCUCUUGAAGAAUUGGUACAUCCUACUUUUUCUCUGGAGGAUCUUAAAACAAACAUUCAUCCUUCUCAGCCUGGCUGUCUUUCAAAUAUUGAAGGCAAUUCUAAUGUUUUCCACUGAUUUUCUCUUCCCUUAAUAGACUGUAGUUUCUUGAGCUAUUCAUAAAUUAAUCGAAAAUUAAUAAUUUUUGAUGCUGUCUGUGUAUUGAUUGCCCUUUAAGUGGUUGCGGUCCAAAGAAGUGCCUGUAAUCCCCAGGCUCCACCAGCAGGAAUUCAUGUCUUCCUUAUCUGUGUUCUAGUGGAAUCAGGCACCUCAGCUGUAACAUCGACCCUGUGCUACCCAGGCAAUGUGUCGUUAUCUUAGCUCUUAUUCCAACAGUGCCCUGAGCCCCUUUGUUGCCCAGUGACCGGGAGACGUUUCUAAUCACUUGGACCUCUCUAGGUCAGGAAAUUCAUACGUGGAUGGGAUGAGAGAAUAGGGGAUGUGGUUAAGGAUGAGCAAAGUGUAAUUAAUGAAAAACCUUUGUAAAGAACCAUCAAUUUUUUUGCAGUGCUUUCUAGGUAUCAUACAGAGUCGUCUCUGAGUAAAAAAAAAAAAAAAAAAAAAAAAA